GCCAAGAGCUGGACUCAGCUGAACUCAUGGACAUGACAGUCCCAUGUGCAAGUACUGGGGUGGCCCCUUCCUGAGCCUAGAUUCCUGGGAGGGGACAAAAGGCUGUGCCUGCUCAGGUGUGACCUCUUUCAACCAGGGGAAAAGGCAGCCUUUCUCACAGUUCUGCUCCUAGGCCUCGAAUUGUUUUGGAUACCUCUGAGAAAGCAGUCUGAAAGGGAGUCUUAGAAAGAAAUAUAUGAUAAUACCAGGCUUGUCUGCUGCGCUGAGUGGGGACAUUCAGAGAGAUAAUAUUUGCCUGGAAUAGUGGUUCCAUGGAACAUUAUUGUCCAUUGUGCCUGAAUGAUUAGAGAAACAGGGAUCCUGGCGGACAGAAGCUUCUGGAACCACGCUGCUUGGAUUUGAAUCUGGCUCUAUCAUCUGCUAGUUUUAUGACUUUGGGGUAGAAGCCAGUCCACGGAGGUCCCACUAAGAAGGAUAAAAGAUUUCCCAAAGGUGAAUGAAUCUACAGUCCUCCUUCCAAAAAAAUAUCAGACUCUGGGGAGACAAUAAGAAAGGAACUAAAGCUACUUUUGAAAAGUUUUCCAAGGUUGGUUAGAUUCUCCAGAAGCAGACCCUGAAUGAUUCAUUUAAGUUGGUCACUGAAAGGAAGGCUGUCAGGCCAUCCUGCAGUCUGGAGUUCUUACAGCCAAGUAGGAGCCAUUUGGACUAUAGACGUCUAGCCAGCCUGUUCACAUGGCCCAAAGGUGUGACCUACACUCACAGUUGUUAGUUGUUAGCACCUGAGCACAGCACUGCAGGUGAGACUUCUGAAGACCCGGUCCUGUCACCUAACAGCAAGAAAGAGCUUCUGGAAGCCUGCAGCUCAGCCGUUGAGCUCUCAAGUGUGGCCUGUCUAAUGGUGGCCUGCCAGUCUGGAGAGGAACAGGGACAUUAGCUGGCAAGUUAGAUCUGGGAUCGGUUUUGUGCAGCAUUAGGAGAUUGUAAGGAUUAAGGGAAAUGAGGCAAAAGCCAGGAAGCAGACGUGCUAAAUCUACUGGUUUUCCGAAGGUAUAAAUCCUGCUAGUUGUGCCCUGCCACCAUGGAGUCUCUAGAUCCUUGUCAAACCUCUUCCUCAGACUAAAAAUAAUCAUUCGUAUAUAAACAAACGUAAAUAUAUUUUUAACAUGCCUCAGAAAACCACCUUCCUGUUGGGUUUCAAGGUUCUCUGUCCCAGUCAACUGGCAGAUCACAAAAGCAACUGCAACUGCUUGGAACUUUCCACCACAGACAGUCAAUUGUGACCCCAGCUGACAUCUUAUUGUGGGUGCCAAAGUGAGUUUGUGUUGAGAGAUUGCAAUCUCUAACUGCUUUGUGGUUUCAGAAGGCAAGAGAGGCCAGAACCUAAGGGAGGGCUGAGAGGUUAAAAACUCAGGGUGAAUAACUCCCAAAGGACCCACACCUUUUGAGGGUCAUUGGUGUGGCUUCCUGAGGAAAGUUUUAUAAGCCAGAGCACCAUACCGUUGAAACGUUAGCCAGCGGAAACAAAGAAAACCCGUCACUCAGCCAGGCAGCUAGCUGGCUGGCUGCUUCCAGAUGGGGAUGGUAUUUCACCCUGUGAGGGCAGGCUGAGAUGGAAGAGGAACUGACCAACUGACACCAUCUGAAAGAAUUUGACACUAUAAAAAAUGUAUUUCUUUUAAAGGUGUACACACGGCAGAUGAUCCCUGUUAGCUUAUAUCUAACAAAAUAACACUGUGUUCCUACCAAGGUAGUCUUUUUCUAACUUACUUAUCAGAUAUUAGGCACCUCUUACCUCUUCUUGGCACUUAUUAUCCUUCCAUGAAAGGAAAAGAUUGCGUCAAAUGAAGAACUGUAUUGCAAGGACCUUAUGUGCUUGUCAGGGUGUGGCCCACAUCCCCAGGAGGCAAGGCUAGGAAUAAUUAGAAAAAAUUGUGGGAUAAAGAAACAGAGAUAGAGAAGAGCUAAGACAUGUGCUCAGAGGCAAAUGGCUUAGAGCUAGUCAAGUGGCAGAGGCAUUUUUUUUUUUUCCAGCACCACAAUUAAGGUCACUGGACUCUUAGGCGCUGCUUUGGUGAUAAACUAAUGCUUCCAGUUCCGAUGAAGUGGUGUAAGCUCAGGCCAGCGAAACAAGCAAGAAGCAUGUGCAGGAAGGCAGAGCUCUUAGCUCCCAUUUCCCAGUCCAUUCACAGACUCCUACCUCUGCCCUUAGAGCUGUUUGGGAAGUUCUUCUACUUUGGCCUUCAGCCCCCAACAAUGGAAUUUCUCUGCUUGGGGGUAAAAAGAGGAAUUCCUCUCACAGUGCCAACAUCACCCCCCUCCUUGUCACCCCGAGGAGAGAGCAGAGAGGUGGUGAGACCAGGCCUGCCCAGAGAUGGAGUUUUGAGGCGUGAGGUAAUGUUGGUUCCCCAUGUAUGACUGCAACCAGAGGAGCUUGGCAGGGGCUGUAAUGGAAGAGAGGCCGGCUUUGAGAUUUUCUUUCUGUUUGGUCUGGAUGUAUUCCAAAUACAAAUUAAACUCAAAUGAAAACUUUAGAAAUGUUAUAUUACCAAAGUGUGCCUGUGUGUGUUUUGGGGGGAUAAGGGUGAAAGAACGGGGGCUGUCGGGGAGGGGGAGCAGCUGCCAUACAGCUAAACAACUAAAUCUUAACCUAAACCUAAACAACCACAGCAUUCAGAGCAUCCAGGCUCUCAUGGCCCCCCCACUAAAGGGGAGGGAUCAUUACUACCCAAGGGCUCGGAUUUUGUGUUUCAAUUACACACCAGUCCGGGUGUGCAACUGGAACGCCUGGGUCACAGCCAUUCAUUUGCCGUUAACAUGGUUGCUAACCUUCCUUAUCUCUACUUCUCUGGCCCUCAGCCUCUUCAACUGUAAAUGAGUGGUAUGAAUCAGAUGGCAGGCAUCUUUCCACUCGGAGUGCGGUUCUAGUGCGGUCAAUGGAGUGCGUGAUUUCUAAACAUCAGUCACCCAUAAUUCUAAGAUGGAUUUGAAAAACGGAAAAUGUUGAGUGGCUCUAUGCAUUUCAUUUCUGUCUUUUUUAGAGGACCUUUCCUAUUUCAGGCAACUGCCUCUGCGAAAACCACUGUGACAGAUUAAAACUACUCUUUAUCCAAUCUUCAGGAGCCUUGGGAAUACAGAUGACACCCCAGCAAGAUUG